GCCGAGGUGGCAGAGUCCGGUUAAAUGCGCAGGCCUUGAGAGUCUGUUCUUCGAAAGGAGAGCUUGGGUUCAAAUCCCAACCUCGGCG
rnacentral:tRNA from 1 species